rnacentral:rRNA from 1 species
GAGUCGUAACAAGGUUUCCGUAGGUGAACCUGCGGAAGGAUCAUU